AGGACGAACGCUGGCGGCGUGCUUAACACAUGCAAGUCGAGCGGUAAGGCCCUUUCGGGGGUACACGAGCGGCGAACGGGUGAGUAACACGUGAGCAAUCUGCCCUUCACUUCGGGAUAAGCCUCGGAAACGGGGUCUAAUACCGGAUAUGACUGCGCCAUGCAUGUAGUGUGGUGGAAAUUCUGGCGGUGAGGGAUGAGCUCGCGGCCUAUCCAGUCUUGUUGGUGGGUAAAUCGGACCUACCAAGGUACCGUUUCGAACGGGUAGCCGGCCUGAGGAGGGUCGAACCGGCCACGACGUAGGGACCUAGGAACGACCACCGGACCC
rnacentral:rRNA from 1 species